UUUGGUUCAAAUUUGUGAGCAUAUGUACGUUGGGAGACCUCCAUUGUUAGUCCAUAUUAACCUUAACUUGAAAAUGAAUAAAAUUAACGCAUUAAUUCGUGCGGUAAGUUUCGACUUUGCAUAGGCAACUUAUAAUUCAGAGGGUGUUUAUUUACGUUGGAAAAAGUAGCCUUAUUUUUAAGAGUGUAGUGCAUAAAUACGAGGAUCUCAUACCGCAUCACAAUUUUACAUAUUGGGUGACAUUCUUGGUGCACACCGUCCCCCAUUGUAUUUCAUUCUGGGCCUUUAUUGUUUUGGUUUUUAUCGUUUUUUAAACAAGUCGUAAAACAUUGCGUGGAUUGAAUAGAGGCCAAAUUUCUUUCACUCAGCUCAGAAAUAUGUUCAGCUUAAAGUGAAAAAUUUAUUUUAUCUUAAAUAUUUUAGUUAUUUAAUUUCGUCGUCCAGAAAUUUACUACAAGGCUUCAUCUUAAAAGGUCACAAGUUUCAGAUUAGUUAGAAAUUAUGAAAAAUUUGUAUGUAAUAUACCAACCCGUUCGGAUUAUGGAACGGUGACGUGGCAUGCCAACGUGGCACACACUCCCGUCACAAUUCAGUGACGUGGAGGAGGAAGGUCAUGUAAGUAUUUUUUAAGAAUGUACAUACUUAUACGGACACACAUAGGUACAUAAAUAGCAAAUGCAGAAAUAUAUACGAAAUUUGUGUGAUUUAUUUUGUUCAGAAUUGAGUAAGACAUUUACAGUCUAAAUAUAAACAAAAUUUGCUUAAGGUUGAGUAAAAAGGAUGAUAGCCUAACCAUGGCAAAUUUAUCCAAAUUUGUGUAAAAUUUGUCCAAAUUCUUGUAAAACUUUUUUCCAACGUGUGGAUAAAUUUUUAAAUUGUUGAUUGCGUCAUCCUUUCUCUUACUCACGACGACAAAGUUUUACAAAUUUUUAAUUAAAAUGUGAUAACUAUUCGGUUUAUAUCGCCACAAGUCUUAAUAAUGAAUUUAACAUAAAUAUCCGUAAAAAUAUUGACAAGUGAAGUACAAUUUUACAUCUUUUUCCACUACAACAUUCUCGUACAUAUGUUGAUAUUAAUAAUUUAAAAUACAUCACAAAGAAAUUUGAAAAAAAUGGCAGAAAAAUAAGGAAAAAAGUAAUAUCACAAGGAACAAAAAUGAGACGGACCCUGCAGCGCUUUCAUUUCCAGCUACCUAUACAUAUUUGCGAAUGCAGAAUGUGACAUUAAAUAAAAUUGACAUCAUAAAUUUUAAAUUUUAGUUUUGAGAUUAUAAACUUUAUUGCUGUCUUGACCUGAAAAGCUGUGUAUAACUCCUGAUUUGCGACACACGAAUAAACUACGGGGCCGUUCGUUAGGCAAGCGUCGACGUACGGAAGAGUGCCAUCUUCCCAUGCAAAUUCGAAACUAUAUCAAUACGAAACGAAUCUUCAUUCCAUAGACGAGCAUGAUUUCGCUAAUUUUGGAAAGGUUUCAAAAGAUAAAGAUUCCGGUUCAGAUGAAAUAUUCCCAAUCAACAGAUUCGACUUCCAACUUGACACCGAAAAUUUCUCAAAAUUCUUACCGGCUGGCUUUCAUCUUCCCGUUUCUUCAUCCCGUGAAGUCGAGAUUAAGUUAAGAUGUCAAGACUUAAGUAUACUUUUAAAUAGUAAAGAGCAAGUUAUACAUAAAUAAAUAAGUAGGAUUAUUUACAUAUAUGUA